AAGUCGUAACAAGGUCUCCGUUGGUGAACCAGCGGAGGGAUCAUUACUGAGUGUAAAAACUCCCAAACCCAUUGUGAACAUACCUCUGUUGCUUCGGCGGAUGCGCCCCGGGCGCGCCCUCACAGGCGUGCCCCGGACCAAGGCGCCCGCCGGGGAACUGAAACUCUUGUUUUCUUAGAGAAUCUCUGAGUGUGAUUAUAAAUCAAAUCAAAACUUUCAACAACGGAUCUCUUGGCUCUA
rnacentral:misc_RNA from 1 species